AGAAACGUCCCUUCAGUCUCUCUGCUGUGCUAAAGUGACCUCUGUUGCUAAUCACUGGCCUCAUAUAAAAUAUGGCUCCUCCUGUCGCAGUGUCGCCUUUGAUUAAGACAGCCAGGUAUUCAGCUUUAAUUGCUGGCAUCAUCUAUGGAAAAAUGAGAUACGCUUACCUGAAACCCAUCGGGGCUGAGGAAAGGAGGAUCGAGGAGGAGAAAAAGGCCCUUGCGGAGCAGGAGCUCAUUGCUAAGAAGCUAGCAGAAGAAAAUGAAACCAUUUUGAAAUAAAUGGUUAUGAAGAUCUCCUUGUUCCUGUGAAAUGACCAACCUCGCCCUCCUUUCUCCGGAGUAAUAAUGACAAAGUCAGACACUCCUGUUUUGUGGAAGUGCUCACUGUCAAGACCGAUCCAACACCCCUCUGGAUUGUUAAAAGUAAUUUUGUUAAACUCAGUAUAAUAAAAAAAACUUCUGUACAACAACAAAUGUACUCAGAACUUCUAAAGCUGAUGUUUAUAAUGAAGCAAUAUGAUAAAUACAGAAACCUCUGAUCCCUGUA